ensembl:ncRNA H14N18.6 ncRNA
UUUGCGCGGUACAAACACGGAUAAGGCGUUAAACUAAUUUAGUUUGUGGUUUUUCAAACAGAAAAAAGGCGAAAAGCACAGCAAGUAGCAUCUUCAAUGUUUGGACACCGACCCCACCCGUCCUAUCAUUCGGUUCCAUUCA